UGAAAACACAACAAUUCAAAAUCUAUGGGACACAGUGAAAGCAGUCCUGAGAGGUAAGUUCAUAGCUCUACCAGCCUACCUCAAAAAACAACAA